UUGCCUCGUGCCUCGCUCGGCGUAUCGUUCCUAAGAUACGUCUUGAGCUGGAUGCAUCUUUGCUUUCGCAAUGUAAUGCAAAAGGCCAUAUGAACUAGGGCUUCUUUUGAGUGCGGUGACACCAAGGUUUUCCGGAUGGUGGCACUGUAAUUAUCUGCCUUGACAUUU
rnacentral:snoRNA from 1 species